rnacentral:rRNA from 1 species
AACGAACGCUGGCGGCAGGCCUAACACAUGCAAGUCGAGCGGACCCUUCGGGGUUAGCGGCGGACGGGUGAGUAACGCGUGGGAACGUGCCCUUUGCUUCGGAAUAGCCCUGGGAAACUGGGAGUAAUACCGGAUACGCCCCUUUGGGGAAAGAUUUAUCGGCGAAGGAUCGGCCCGCGUUGGAUUAGGUAGUUGGUGGGGUAAUGGCCUACCAAGCCGGCGAUCCAUAGCUGGGUUGAGAGGAUGAUCAGCCACACUGGGACUGAGACACGGCCCAGACUCCUACGGGAGGCAGCAGUGGGGAAUCUUAGACAAUGGGGGAAACCCUGAUCUAGCCAUGCCGCGUGAGCGAUGAAGGCCUUAGGGUUGUAAAGCUCUUUCACCGGGGAAGAUAAUGACGGUACCCGGAGAAGAAGCCCCGGCUAACUCCGU